rnacentral:lncRNA from 1 species
GGAUAUUAGGUUUGUUACAAUUUUCCAUAUUUUAUUAUUUCAGGUAUGUAAUUGGUCUUUGAGAGUAACAUUAAUAAUAAAAUAAACAGGAGUUAAUCCAAAAAUUUCAACAAAAAUUCAACAAAAAUGGUUUUGAGGUGGGAUUUUCUUGGCUUUUUUGGCUGAGUUAACCCCUGAAAUCACAGGUGCACAUUUCUUUCCUCCCUCCAUUUGGCCCAGGUGGUGGCAUUCACUCCAGAUUAGAAUUUAAGGCUGCAUCUUGUACUUUGGUGCUAUUUUGUGGUUUAUAAACUGCCCCUACCGAAAAACCCAGGUGUGCCAAACAUAGCAACCUCAGGUGGAGUACCUACAGGGAGUAUUUCUGCGUCCCUGCCAAGAGGGGUUCCAGCUGGAUCAGUUUUACACGACAGGACUUGGACACCUCAGUGUCCUGUCAUGGCUCUGCCCAUCAUGCAGGCCUUGCUUGCCCUCUCCUGCCUCCACCCCUCGGUAGCAGUGGCUGCGAUCACUGCUGCCAGGUUUUCAGCUGUGGUUUGUUACAAGGCAGGUAAGCUGAGGCGUUUAGCUCAAAGAGGAAUUCCUUCGGAUAACAAAGAGAUUAGGGGACACCUGUGAGCUGACUCUUUUAUUAGCUCAGGAGGAAGAAAAUACCUUUGGAACAUCGUGUGGUUCUUGCUGUUUGCUCUUUGAAUAGUGUGUCAUGUGAGAAUUGCAUCUGCCAAAUACCAAGCAGGCGUUUGAGUUUUUUGUGUCGUCCUUCUCCGAGGAAUAAAUGGAAGGGCUUUGAAUGGAGGCA